UAAUACGGAGGGUGCAAGCGUUGUCCGGAUUCAUUGGGUUUAAAGGGUGCGCAGGCGGGCCAUUAAGUCAGGGGUGAAAGACGGUUGCUCAACAAUCGCAGUGCCUUUGAUACUGGUGGUCUUGGGUGACCUUGAGGUAGGCGGAAUGGGUGGUGUAGCGGUGAAAUGCAUAGAUACCACCCAGAACUCCGAUUGCGAAGGCAGCCUACUGGUGGUUUACCGACGCUCAGGCACGAAAGCGUGGGGAUCAAACAGGAUUAGAUACCCUGGUAGUCCACGCCGUAAACGAUGAUCACUCGCUGUGGGGAGGCAACUUUCCGCGGCUUAGCGAAAGCGUUAAGUGAUCCACCUGGGGAGUACGCUCGCAAGGGUG
rnacentral:rRNA from 1 species